rnacentral:rRNA from 1 species
CCUACGGGAGGCAGCAGUGGGGGAUAUUGCACAAUGGGGGGAACCCUGAUGCGGCGACGCCGCGUGGGUGAAGAAGCGCCUCGGCGCGUAAAGCCCUGUCAGCAGGGAAGAAAAUGACGGUACCUGAAGAAGAAGCCCCGGCUAACUACGUGCCAGCAGCCGCGGUAAUACGUAGGGGGCAAGCGUUAUCCGGAUUUACUGGGUGGAAAGGGGGCGCAGACGGCGAUGCAAGCCAGGAGUGAAAGCCCGGGGCCCAACCCCGGGACUGCUCUUGGAACUGCGUGGCUGGAGUGCAGGAGGGGCAGGCGGAAUUCCUGGUGUAGCGGUGAAAUGCGUAGAUAUCAGGAGGAACACCGGUGGCGAAGGCGGCCUGCUGGACUGCAACUGACGUUGAGGCCCGAAAGCGUGGGGAGCAAACAGGAUUAGAUACCCCAGUAGUC